rnacentral:rRNA from 1 species
AUUGAACGCUGGCGGCAGGCCUAAUACAUGCAAGUCGAGCGGAGCGGCGGACGGGAGAGUAAUGCCUAGGAAUUUGCCUGGUAGUGGGGGAUAACGUCUGGAAACGGGCGCUAAUACCGCAUACUAUCAGAUGAGCCUAGGUCGGAUUAGCUAGUUGGGAGGGUAAAGGCCUACCAAGGCGACGAUCCGUAAAUGGGCUGAGAGGAUGAUCAGUCACACUGGGACUGAGACACGGUCCAGACUCCUACGGGAGGCAGCAGUAGGGAAUAUUGGACAAUGGGCGAAAGCCUGAUCCAGCCAUGCCGCGUGUGUGAAGAAGGUUUUCGGAUUGUAAAGCUCUUUUAGUUGGGAAGCGUUACCAACAGAGUAAGCAACGGCUAACUUCGUGCCAGCAGCCGCGGUAAUUC